UGCCAGCCGCCGCGGUAAUACGGAGGAUGCGAGCGUUAUCCGGAAUUAUUGGGUUUGAAGGGUGCGUAGGCGGGAAAUUAAGUCAGUGGUGAAAGCCUGCAGCUCAACUGUAGAAUUGCCAUUGAUACUGAUUUUCUUGAAUUUAUGUGAAGUGAAUAGAAUGCGUCAUGUAGCGGUGAAAUGCUUAGAUAUGACGCAGAAUACCAAUUGCGAAGGCAGUUCACUAACAUAAUAUUGACGCUGAUGCACGAAAGCGUGGGUAGCGAACAGGAUUAGAUA
rnacentral:rRNA from 1 species